rnacentral:rRNA from 1 species
GGGUUGUGAGGUUAAGCGACUAAGCGUACACGGUGGAUGCCCUGGCAGUCAGAGGCGAUGAAGGACGUGCUAAUCUGCGAUAAGCGUCGGUGAGGUGAUAUGAACCGUUAUAACCGGCGAUUUCCGAAUGGGGAAACCCAGUGUGUUUCGACACACUAUCAUUAACUGAAUCCAUAGGUUAAUGAGGCGAACCGGGGGAACUGAAACAUCUAAGUACCCCGAGGAAAAGAAAUCAACCGAGAUUCCCCCAGUAGCGGCGAGCGAACGGGGAGGAGCCCAGAGCCUGAAUCAGUGUGUGUGUUAGUGGAAGCGUCUGGAAAGGCGUGCGAUACAGGGUGACAGCCCCGUACACAAAAAUGCACAUAUUGUGAGCUCGAUGAGUAGGGCGGGACACGUGGUAUCCUGUCUGAAUAUGGGGGGACCAUCCUCCAAGGCUAAAUACUCCUGACUGACCGAUAGUGAACCAGUACCGUGAGGGAAAGGCGAAAAGAACCCCGGCGAGGGGAGUGAAAAAGAACCUGAAACCGUGUACGUACAAGCAGUGGGAGCCUCUUAAUGGGGUGACUGCGUACCUUUUGUAUAAUGGGUCAGCGACUUAUAUUCUGUAGCAAGGUUAACCGAAUAGGGGAGCCGAAGGGAAACCGAGUCUUAACUGGGCGUUAAGUUGCAGGGUAUAGACCCGAAACCCGGUGAUCUAGCCAUGGGCAGGUUGAAGGUUGGGUAACACUAACUGGAGGACCGAACCGACUAAUGUUGAAAAAUUAGCGGAUGACUUGUGGCUGGGGGUGAAAGGCCAAUCAAACCGGGAGAUAGCUGGUUCUCCCCGAAAGCUAUUUAGGUAGCGCCUCGUGAAUUCAUCUCCGGGGGUAGAGCACUGUUUCGGCAAGGGGGUCAUCCCGACUUACCAACCCGAUGCAAACUGCGAAUACCGGAGAAUGUUAUCACGGGAGACACACGGCGGGUGCUAACGUCCGUCGUGAAGAGGGAAACAACCCAGACCGCCAGCUAAGGUCCCAAAGUCAUGGUUAAGUGGGAAACGAUGUGGGAAGGCCCAGACAGCCAGGAUGUUGGCUUAGAAGCAGCCAUCAUUUAAAGAAAGCGUAAUAGCUCACUGGUCGAGUCGGCCUGCGCGGAAGAUGUAACGGGGCUAAACCAUGCACCGAAGCUGCGGCAGCGACACUAUGUGUUGUUGGGUAGGGGAGCGUUCUGUAAGCCUGUGAAGGUGGCCUGUGAGGGUUGCUGGAGGUAUCAGAAGUGCGAAUGCUGACAUAAGUAACGAUAAAGCGGGUGAAAAGCCCGCUCGCCGGAAGACCAAGGGUUCCUGUCCAACGUUAAUCGGGGCAGGGUGAGUCGACCCCUAAGGCGAGGCCGAAAGGCGUAGUCGAUGGGAAACAGGUUAAUAUUCCUGUACUUGGUGUUACUGCGAAGGGGGGACGGAGAAGGCUAUGUUGGCCGGGCGACGGUUGUCCCGGUUUAAGCGUGUAGGCUGGUUUUCCAGGCAAAUCCGGAAAACCAAGGCUGAGGCGUGAUGACGAGGCACUACGGUGCUGAAGCGACAAAUGCCCUGCUUCCAGGAAAAGCCUCUAAGCAUCAGGUAACAUCAAAUCGUACCCCAAACCGACACAGGUGGUCAGGUAGAGAAUACCAAGGCGCUUGAGAGAACUCGGGUGAAGGAACUAGGCAAAAUGGUGCCGUAACUUCGGGAGAAGGCACGCUGAUAUGUAGGUGAAGCGACUUGCUCGUGGAGCUGAAAUCAGUCGAAGAUACCAGCUGGCUGCAACUGUUUAUUAAAAACACAGCACUGUGCAAACACGAAAGUGGACGUAUACGGUGUGACGCCUGCCCGGUGCCGGAAGGUUAAUUGAUGGGGUUAGCGGUAACGCGAAGCUCUUGAUCGAAGCCCCGGUAAACGGCGGCCGUAACUAUAACGGUCCUAAGGUAGCGAAAUUCCUUGUCGGGUAAGUUCCGACCUGCACGAAUGGCGUAAUGAUGGCCAGGCUGUCUCCACCCGAGACUCAGUGAAAUUGAACUCGCUGUGAAGAUGCAGUGUACCCGCGGCAAGACGGAAAGACCCCGUGAACCUUUACUAUAGCUUGACACUGAACAUUGAGCCUUGAUGUGUAGGAUAGGUGGGAGGCUUUGAAGUGUGGACGCCAGUCUGCAUGGAGCCGACCUUGAAAUACCACCCUUUAAUGUUUGAUGUUCUAACGUUGGCCCGUAAUCCGGGUUGCGGACAGUGUCUGGUGGGUAGUUUGACUGGGGCGGUCUCCUCCUAAAGAGUAACGGAGGAGCACGAAGGUUGGCUAAUCCUGGUCGGACAUCAGGAGGUUAGUGCAAUGGCAUAAGCCAGCUUGACUGCGAGCGUGACGGCGCGAGCAGGUGCGAAAGCAGGUCAUAGUGAUCCGGUGGUUCUGAAUGGAAGGGCCAUCGCUCAACGGAUAAAAGGUACUCCGGGGAUAACAGGCUGAUACCGCCCAAGAGUUCAUAUCGACGGCGGUGUUUGGCACCUCGAUGUCGGCUCAUCACAUCCUGGGGCUGAAGUAGGUCCCAAGGGUAUGGCUGUUCGCCAUUUAAAGUGGUACGCGAGCUGGGUUUAGAACGUCGUGAGACAGUUCGGUCCCUAUCUGCCGUGGGCGCUGGAGAACUGAGGGGGGCUGCUCCUAGUACGAGAGGACCGGAGUGGACGCAUCACUGGUGUUCGGGUUGUCAUGCCAAUGGCACUGCCCGGUAGCUAAAUGCGGAAGAGAUAAGUGCUGAAAGCAUCUAAGCACGAAACUUGCCCCGAGAUGAGUUCUCCCUGACUCCUUGAGGAU